CCAGACUCCUACGGGAGGCAGCAGUGAGGAAUAUUGGGCAAUGGGCGCAAGCCUGACCCAGCAACGCCGCGUGAAGGAAGAAGGCUUUCGGGUUGUAAACUUCUUUUCUCAGGGACGAAGCAAGUGACGGUACCUGAGGAAUAAGCCACGGCUAACUACGUGCCAGCAGCCGCGGUAAUACGUAGGUGGCAAGCGUUAUCCGGAUUUACUGGGUGUAAAGGGCAUGUAGGCGGGACUGCAAGUCAGAUGUGAAAACCACGGGCUCAACCUGAGGCCUGCAUUUGAAACUGUAGUUCUUGAGUACUGAAGAGGCAGACGAAAUUCCUAGUGUAGCGGUGAAAUGCGUAGAUAUUAGGAGGAACACCAGUGGCGAAGGCGGUCUGCUGGACAGCAACUGACGCUGAGGCGCGAAAGCGUGGGGAGCAGACAGGAGUAGAUACCCCCGUA
rnacentral:rRNA from 1 species